AAAAAUUCUAGAGGCGACACGUGGACCUUUGCCCAAGAAAGAUAAAAUUGCCCUCAAUAAAUGGGUAGGCUCCUCAGAUACUCCCACGCUCAGGUCACGCCUCUAAAGGUCACCAGCAGCUGAAUACGACUGCCCACAGCUCACUGCCCUUGGCAAGGAAAAGUCCAAGCAUUAAAGAUAAGGAUUAAUUACCCAAAUCCUAUCUUUAAUACAUUCCCAAUUGAAUAUUGACUCCAUUCAAGUAAGUAAUCCCUAUUUAAAUCAAUUACGGAUAAUUACUCCAUUAUCUCAAAAUAUGAUUUCCUAUUUAAUAUCAUGAGAAUAUUUCUCCAUAAACCUUGGCCAAUAGGAUGCUGCCAUGUGUAGGGUGAAACCCUAACAGUAUGGUUGGCCCUUUCCUCCUAUAUAUACCCCAUAUUCUACUAAAUUUCGGUAAGCUUUUACAACCCUAAAAAGCUCUAAACACUUUACUCUUCUCAAAGAAACUAACUUAGGCAUCGAAGAUCCAUUGGUCUAACCCCCCCACCUCAUGGGCGCACGAGGCUUAGGUCCUUGAUCAAAGGUAUUGAUUGUUUUGCAGGUGCAUUUUUGUCAAAGCUAGAGACGGCAGAAAUUUGCAUCGACAAAUUGGUGCUUUCAUUAGGAACUAAUUCAAAUACUUGAAGAAGCGUCUUGCAUUUGGUUUCUUGAACUUUCUGUUACGUUGAAUUUCUCACACAUCGUAUCAAUUAAUUUUUCUUGGAAAUGUUUAUUGAUAAAUGCCUAGAGUAAGGAACAAUGGUAGGAAAUUCAGAAACCAUGUACGUACAAGGAUUUG
rnacentral:lncRNA from 1 species